rnacentral:rRNA from 1 species
GCUUGGUGACGCGGAGGGAUCAUUACCGAGUUUACAACUCCCAAACCCCUGUGAACAUACCUAUACGUUGCCUCGGCGGAUCAGCCCGCGCCCCGUAAAACGGGACGGCCCGCCCGAGGACCCCUAAACUCUGUUUUUAGUGGAACUUCUGAGUAAAACAAACAAAUAAAUCAAAACUUUCAACAACGGAUCUCUUGGUUCUGGCAUCGAUGAAGAACGCAGCAAAAUGCGAUAAGUAAUGUGAAUUGCAGAAUUCAGUGAAUCAUCGAAUCUUUGAACGCACAUUGCGCCCGCCAGUAUUCUGGCGGGCAUGCCUGUUCGAGCGUCAUUUCAACCCUCAAGCUCAGCUUGGUGUUGGGACUCGCGGUAACCCGCGUUCCCCAAAUCGAUUGGCGGUCACGUCGAGCUUCCAUAGCGUAGUAAUCAUACACCUCGUUACUGGUAAUCGUCGCGGCCACGCCGUUAAACCCCAACUUCUGAAUGUUGACCUCGGAUCAGGUAGGAAUACCCGCUGAACUUAAGCAUAUCUAAAC